rnacentral:rRNA from 1 species
GAGAUGGCGACAUGGAGCAAAUCCCAAAACAGNGCCCCAGUUCGGAUUGCAGGCUGCAACCCGCCUGCAUGAAGCCGGAAUCGCUAGUAAUCGCGGAUCAGAAUGCCGCGGUGAAUACGUUCCCGGGUCUUGUACACACCGCCCGUCACACCAUGGGAGCCGGGAAUGCCCGAAGUCAGUGGCCCAACCGCAAGGGGGGAGCUGCCGAAGGCAGGCCUGGUGACUGGGGUGAAGUCGUAACAAGGUACC